rnacentral:sRNA from 1 species
UAAUCACUCACCACCAACACCAUCACUCGACCGGACACUCGAUCACAUCUUCAUAGUCUACUCAAAUCCGCACUCAACCAGACAAGCUGAGCACAAGGAAGAGAAGAGGAGAAGACGAAAUGUUUGGAAGCGGCCUGGAACUCCAUCGGAUCACAAAGCCCAUCUCAGCCCAUUAUCACUCUAUGGGGCAGGCGAUUAGGUUACUGGCCCGUCUACUAUCAUUUCAUUUCGUU